AGCAUAUCAAUAAGCGGAGGAAAAGAAACCAACAGGGAUUGCCUCAGUAACGGCGAGUGAAGCGGCAAAAGCUCAGAUUUGAAAUCUGGCGUCUUCGGCGUCCGAGUUGUAAUCUGUAGAGGAUGCCUUUGGGUAGCCACCGGUCUAAGUCCCCUGGAACGGGGUGUCACAGAGGGUGAGAAUCCCGUAUGUGACCGGAAGGGCGCCCUAUACAUGGCUCCUUCGACGAGUCGAGUUGUUUGGGAAUGCAGCUCUAAAUGGGAGGUAAAUUCCUUCUAAAGCUAAAUACCGGCCAGAGACCGAUAGCGCACAAGUAGAGUGAUCGAAAGAUGAAAAGCACUUUGGAAAGAGAGUUAAAAAGCACGUGAAAUUGUUGAAAGGGAAGCGCUUGCAACCAGACUUGUUGGCGGUGUUCCGCCGGUCUUCUGACCGGUCUACUCACCGUCUGCAGGCCAGCAUCAUCUGGGACCGCUGGAUAAAAGCGGAGGGAAUGUGGCUCCUCCGGGAGUGUUAUAGCCCUCUGUGUAAUACAGCGAGUCCCGGGUGAGGUCCGCGCUUCGGCUAGGAUGCUGGCGUAAUGGUCGUAAGCGGCCCGUCUUGAAACACGGACCAAGGAGUCUAACAUCUAUGCGAGUGUUCGGGUGUCAAACCCCUACGCGUAAUGAAAGUGAACGGAGGUGGGAACCUUUUAGGUGCACCAUCGACCGAUCCUGAUGUCUUCGGAUGGAUUUGAGUAAGAGCAUAGCUGUUGGGACCCGAAAGAUGGUGAACUAUGCCUGGAUAGGGUGAAGCCAGAGGAAACUCUGGUGGAGGCUCGCAGCGGUUCUGACGUGCAAAUCGAUCGUCAAAUUUGGGUAUAGGGGCGAAAGACUAAUCGAACCAUCUAGUAGCUGGUUCCUGCGA
rnacentral:rRNA from 1 species